GUGAGGAGCUGUCCAGUAAGUCAACAGCCACGCUGAUGUGUCUGGCCAACAAGGGCUUCCCCUCAGACUGGACCAUGAGCUGGAAAGUGGACGGGACCAGCAAGAAGCAGGAGGUCAGUCCCGGGGUCCUGGAGAAGGACGGCCUGUGCAGCUGGAGCAGCACACUGACUCUCACUGCCCAGGAGUGGACCAAGGCAGGAGAGGUGACCUGUGAAGCCCAGCAGAAAUCCCAGACUCCAGUCACCAAGACCCUGAGGAGGGCUGACUGUUCUGGGUAGGACCCCUCAGUCACACACCCCUGUGGAGAGAGGAUGCUGGUUCCUCUGCUUUGACUAGCUUUGUUCUAAAAUCAGUAAUUCUCUGAUUUAGAGAUCACUCUGGUGUGGACUAACAGGGGGCUUGGCUUGAGUUCAUGUGUCAAUCCAUUCUGUAGAUUGAGAUUUUGUUCGUUUUAGAUUUGAUGUGAUCUGCUUUUAUUCACUAUCAUGUUUGCUUUGAUGCUUCGAUUGUGUGAUAAUGGAUUAAAAUAAAUAUUUCUUUUUGAAA